CUGGUUGGCAUGAAGAGUUGAGGGACGAGGCUCAAGCAGCCUGACAUUUGCUAACUCCCCUCCCCCUCUCCGUUACGCAUCAGGCAUCUGCGAAAAGUGGAGAGUUGGACUUGACUGGAAGUCAUCAGCCUCGCAGAAGAGACGGCGUGUGGUUGCAGAGGAUGACACGCCUUCCGUAAGGAGACCUCGGGUGUGAGCUGGAGUACGUCGGUGGAACUUCCAGGUUUUGGGUUUCACGCGCUGGAAGGGAAGCCAAGGUCAGGCUUCUGGGUUUAGUCUGUGCUCCAAAUGAGACACAAAAGCGCGGGACGCCAUUGGAGGCCGCUGAGGAGGGGACGGGGACUUCCAGACAGACGCCGCUUUUUCUUCUUCCUUUGGCUGCGCUUGAAGGAAAGGAAGUCUGGACGGGAAUGGAAAGAAGAAGGUGCAAGUGAAGAAAAAGACCAAAGGAACAUGACGGCAGGGAAACUGUGAUGUUGC